rnacentral:snRNA from 1 species
AAACUGGAAUGACUUAGAGAAGAUUAGCACGGCUCUAACACAAGAAUGACA